rnacentral:rRNA from 1 species
UACGUAGGGUGCAAGCGUUAAUCGGAAUUACUGGGCGUAAAGCGUGCGCAGGCGGUUUUGUAAGUUUGUCGUGAAAGCCCCGGGCUCAACCUGGGAAUUGCGAUGAAGACUGCAAGGCUUGAAUCUGGCAGAGGGGGGUAGAAUUCCACGUGUAGCAGUGAAAUGCGUAGAGAUGUGGAGGAACACCGAUGGCGAAGGCAGCCCCCUGGGUAAAGAUUGACGCUCAUGCACGAAAGCGUGGGGAGCGAACAGG